AGACAUUCAUCAAUGGGUUUGAAUCAGUCAAAUAUGUCUGGAUUGGUCUGACUGAUUCUGUUACUGAGGGGACCUGGAAAUGGGUGGACGGAACCCCACUGACCACCCCAAGGUAAGAGACUACUGCUCUAUAAUAACACUGACCACCCCAAGGUAAGAGACUACUGCUCUAUAAUAACACUGACCACCCCAAGGUAAGAGACUACUGCUCUAUAAUAACACUGACCACCCCAAGGUAAGAGACUACUGAUCUAUAAUAACACUGACCACCCCAAGGUAAGAGACUACUGCUCUAUAAUAACACUGACCACCCCAAGGUAAGAGACUACUGCUGUAUAAUAACACUGACCACCCCAAGGUAAGAGACUACUG